rnacentral:lncRNA from 1 species
GAAGAGAGGAACAUGAUUAGUUAUUAGGGGGGGACAUGAAUGAAAGCAGACAACUUUGGCAGGUAGGAGGUGGGGGACGCUUUUUAAUGUACCAGAGACCUAGGAAGUGAUAGACUCUCGGGUCUCAAAGGGAGGGUUAGAUAAAAUAACAUACAGGAGACAGAAAGAAAUGUAGAGUCCCCUCUAGUAAAAGAUAGAACAUCAAGUGGAGGGAGAGAGUUGCUAUUCCAUAGUCUAAAACUCUGACCCAGAAUUAUUCCUGUAUAAAGAAAUGCAGGGAUAAAAAUGGAGAAUGACUGAGGGAAAGAAGGUCCUGUGACAGACCCAAAUUUGGAUCCAGCUCAAGGGGAGGCCCAAGGCCUGACACUAUUACUGAUACUUUGGUUUUCUUACAAACAGGAGCCUAGCAUGUCUGCCUUCAGAAAGCCCCAAAAAAGCCGCUGAAAGAGUCAGAUGAAUAUAUUUCCACCCAAGCAAUGGACAGAAGAUAGUGACCCCAGUGGUUGACUGUGCCAAAGCUGGAAGAAGCUGAUGAGAAGGGCAACCUUAUAGGAAGACAAGCAGUUUCAACUUACUUUGAUCCCUGUGGUCUCUCAGACAUUGUGCCACCAAUUAGGAAGCAUACCAGGUUGUGUGAGUCCCCCAACACAUAUACAACAGAAGACUGCCUGAUCUGCACUCAGUGGGAGAAGAUGCACCUAACCUUUGAGAGUCUUGAGACUCCAUGGAGUGGGGACAUCUAAUAGGGUGGGAGUUAGUGUGUGGGGAAAUCUGCUUGGAGACAGAUGAGAAUGUAUGGGACGAGGAGCAAUCAAAGGCUAGAAUGAUAGUUGGAUAGAGACUGGACUGUAAAAAAACUACUAAAGAAUAAUAAAAAAGAAAUGAUGGCACUAUAGAAAGUUAAUAAAAUGAAGUUUGCCCUAAUAGUUUCUAGUAGUGUUAUGUCUACUCUUUACAUGAACAUUACAAUGUAAUAGUUGAAUAAAUACAAUCCUGAAUGGUGCAAGAGACUUUCUACUGAAGCAAUUCCAGUCAGUAAAGAUGCACUUUCUCAAAGAGCUGGAGAUAGUGGACAUCUGCAAAAAAAAUUUAUUUGAUGGUUAUUUCAGUUAUGGAAUUUCUUACUUUAGAGUAAGUUUUGAGUCUUAGUUCUAGCUUUGAGAUCUUCUUCAUGAUCUUUUUCUUGAUUUGUCCUUAAUCUACUGUUUAAUUGUAUGUAGAAAUUCUGACAAGCAGAGGCAAACAGAGAUAAUAUCAAUUUUUCUACAGAAUUAUUGCAAGUUAGGCUUCUCAGUGGUGCCAGGCCCUACCAAGGAGAAGAGUAUAUGGUGUUCCUCAGAGUAGGAGAAAUGCUCAUUAAAGAUUGCAAGCGACAGAACCAAGUGAAACCCAGUUGUCGCAGGGACUUGCUAGUAUCUCUAUAUUCCUCAUGGACCAGCUGUCCCUAAAUGCUUUUCAGGAAAUAUGUUCCUCCAGCUGAAGUCUAUGCUCCUGCUUUAAGAUACACUGUCCCUGUCACAGUCUUAGAUCAUGUAUCACUUGCAAGGAAAAGGAUACACUUUAGGAACCAGUAUCUGAUAAAACGAGGGUUGUGCAAUUUUCCUGUUGCCAUAACCAUCUAAGAGUUUCAACUUUCACAUCCUGUUUAUAGAGUUAGGUUGAAAUUAUCACUUCAGUUUGACAAAUAAUAAUGCUUGCAGUUUGUCUUUUCUGUCUUCCCAUUCAUACCUAUGAGGUCAGGUGCUAUAUGAGCCUUCUAAAAUCUAUAUUAUGGUGUCUGAUAUUAUAUACUCUUAUCAAAAGAAAUUUACACAUCAAAUUUCCUUGUCACUCAUUAAUAUUGAAUAUACACUGACUGACUAAUUUUAUUUCAUUAAUAUUCUCUCUCAGUCAGUCAGUCUCUGGGAUAUAUCAUGCAUAUGUCACAAUUAUAUUAAUUUGAGUUGCUCCUUGCAAUAAAAACAGUUUCCAGCUUCACAAAACACAUAAUGUCUGGCAGCCUUUUGUGUCUUAGAUUAGUUUUAAUCUCUUAAGUUUCCCUUGGUUUGGAGCAUCUAAGUGUAAGAAUUUAAGGCCUUAUCUGCAUACUAAAUAAAAUGUAGUUGCAACAAUACAACAAAGCGUAAACUAAUGCAAGUAUUUCUUUGCUCAGAAAUAUCAGGAAGAUAUAUUUAUGAUUCUCAGAAUGAUACAUUGAUAAAACAGUUUCGUUCAGUUGAAUGUCUGAUGAUAUAGAGAUAGGUAUAGAGCUGAAAGUAUGAGAAUGGAGAGAGUGAGGAGAGAGAAUGAUGAUGAUACCAUAUGUUAUUGUACACAGUAUUUCUCAAAGGUUCCUACUUCACAGGAACUUUGGCAAAAGAAAAAUUAAGUGUCAUAAAAACCUAGGACAAAUUUCUAAUUGAUGUUCCUGUUAACAUAUCAAAGUGAACAGAAUCUCUCAGUAUUGAAGAUAUCUUUUACAAGCUUUCCUCAUUCUCUCUAACCUCUUGCUAUUCUUUUGUCUCCUCUCACUUUCUGAUAUGAAACAUUUAAAAAUCUUGACUCAAAGUAAUUAUACUGAGUUCUAUUCUGAUGAAACCUCAUCCCCGCUUUAAUGAUGCUAGUGUAAAAUCGUAGUUGCUCAUUGUGCUAUUAAAAGUGAAAUGUAGAUAGCGUAGCAUAAACAUUCAAACAAUGUGAAUGAGGUUAGUACAUGAAAUUGAAGUGAUUUGCCAUUCCAAAUAUCAGAGGAAUUUACUUGGAUGAUAAAUAGCCAAAAUAUUGAUAGCAACUGAUGUUUAUUCUUCUAACACUCUAUCUGAACGAAUACAGACCUAUUUAAAAAAUACUGGUAUCUGAAGAAAAGAUUUGAAAAACAGGUUCUUAGCAUAAUGUACUAUUAUCUGAAAACAAGAAUUUUAAAAAAUUAAAACUUAAAAUACACAAACAUGAUCACUUUAUUAAUAGAUCAAAUGUCAUUAUCUUUGUUUUAUAACAAGAUUUAGUAUUUAUUUGGAACUUGACUAUCUUUUUAUAUAAAGUAUAAGAAUGCAUUUCAUAAUUUAAUGUAUUUUCCUGUAGCUAUUGUCAUGUCCUUUCAGGUGUCCACUUUACUAGCUAUCUUGAACCACUUGCAAUGUGUCAUUUACAUAAUUUCUAGCAGUUACUCUUUAGAUAAAUUCUGGAAUAUAUUUAUGCACAUUAUUUUUGUGUUUGUAGUUUAAAGUGUUUGUUGGUUACAUUUAUACCAAUAUUGUUAUCUUACUAUGUGUCCAUGUACUUUUGAUGCAGAGUCUUGCUGUCCUAUUCACUGAGUUCUCCAACUCAUCCUUGAAACCACGCCUCCUCUGAGCUUCAUGAGAAACUCACAGUACAGAGGCAGAGCACCACAUUCAGCUGAGAUCCAAGAGUCUUGAGGAGAGAAGUUUAAUGAAGAUCCAUUUAACAUCUACAGAUGCACAGUCUCUCACUAUCUCUACACAGGGCACUUGAGAAUGCCUUAGAUAAUUCUUGUGAAAGAGGAGACAGCCUUGUUGAGAACUGAGCACUGAAUUGAAUUAUGGGUAGAACAGUAUGUUGGUAGGAAUCAUUUUAUUUCAGUUUCCCUAUAGGAAAAUAGCAGUAGUAGGUUUUUUUUUUUCUUUUCUAUAACCCAAUUCUAUCUAAACUCAGAUUCAUGGGCACUUGGAUGUAUAAGGUAUGAAUUUAUCACAUAGACUUAGCCCUAAAAUCUAAAAC